AGGGUCUGUUUGGGAGUGCUGUUAAAAAUUGCUGUGCUGUCAGAAAAAGUGCUGGUAAAAUAAGUGCUGUUGUAGAAAUCAGAUAACUGUUUGCAUUCUGCAAAAGCUGAAAAGCAGCUUUUUCCAAAAGCAUGGGAGGACCUGCUUUUUCUAACAGCAGCUUUUCAGCUAAAAGCUGCUGUUCAGAAAAGCUGCUUUUCGAUUUACCAAACAGUUUUUCACCUGCUUUUCAGCAAAAAGCUGCUGUUGCUGUCUGCAACAGCAACCCCAAACAGUAAUUAGUCGGA